UACGUAGGGUGCAAGCGUUGUCCGGAAUUAUUGGGCGUAAAGAGCUCGUAGGCGGCUUGGCAAGUCGGGUGUGAAACCUCCAGGCUCAACCUGGAGACGCCACCCGAUACUGCCAUGGCUAGAGUCCGGUAGGGGACCACGGAAUUCCUGGUGUAGCGGUGAAAUGCGCAGAUAUCAGGAGGAACACCGGUGGCGAAGGCGGUGGUCUGGGCCGGCACUGACGCUGAGGAGCGAAAGCGUGGGGAGCGAACAGG
rnacentral:rRNA from 1 species